rnacentral:rRNA from 1 species
AACGAACGCUGGCGGCAUGCCUAACACAUGCAAGUCGAACGAGACCUUCGGGUCUAGUGGCGCACGGGUGCGUAACGCGUGGGAACCUGCCCUUAGGUUCGGAAUAACUCCCCGAAAGGGGUGCUAAUACCGGAUAAUGUCUUCGGACCAAAGAUUUAUCGCCUUUGGAUGGGCCCGCGUUGGAUUAGCUAGUUGGUAGGGUAAAAGCCUACCAAGGCGACGAUCCAUAGCUGGUCUGAGAGGAUGAUCAGCCACACUGGGACUGAGACACGGCCCAGACUCCUACGGGAGGCAGCAGUGGGGAAUAUUGGACAAUGGGCGAAAGCCUGAUCCAGCAAUGCCGCGUGAGUGAUGAAGGCCUUAGGGUUGUAAAGCUCUUUUACCCGGGAUGAUAAUGACAGUACCGGGAGAAUAAGCUCCAGCUAACCCCGUG